AGACACAUUUAGUUUCAUAAGAAGCUGGAGGCAGCAAAAAAAAAACACACAGCUGGCUAAACUAUUUAAAAAUGGCGGGUUUGUUCAGGACACCCCCGUCUGUCGCUAUAGCAAUGAUGACACAGUGAUUAGUGAUGAUUCUCUCCGACCAGUCAGUAGUCUGCAGUACAAAAGUACAUCA